GUUAAAACGCUCGUAGUUGGAUGUGGGUGAUACCAUUCUGGUAUCGCCUCGGGCGACGGGAACUCUUCGGGGUUCUGCGGUUGCCGGUUACUUUGAGGAAAUUAGAGUGUUCAAAGCAGGCAUUAGCUUGAAUACAUUAGCAUGGAAUAACGGAAGAGGACGGCGGGCUUCUGUUGGUGGGACCGCGGUAAUGGUUAACAGGGACAGUUGGGGGCAUUAGUAUUCCGGAGUCAGAGGUGAAAUUCUUGGAUUUCCGGAAGACUGGCAACUGCGAAAGCAUCUGCCAAGGAUGUUUUCAUUAAUCAAGAACGAAAGUUAGGGGAUCGAAGACGAUUAGAUACCGUCGUAGUCUUAACCAUAAACGAUGCCGACUCGGGAUCGGGCGUACACGUUGGUGGGCGCCCGGCACCGUGGGAGAAAUCAGAGUCUUUGGGUUCUGGGGGGAGUAUGGUCGCAAGGCUGAAACUUAAAGGAAUUGACGGAAGGGCACCACCAGGAGUGGGGCCUGCGGCUUAAUUUGACUCAACACGGGGAAACUCACCAGGUCCAGACAUGGCAAGGAUUGACAGAUUGAGAGCUCUUUCUUGAUUCCAUGGGUGGUGGUGCAUGGCCGUUCUUAGUUGGUGGAGCGAUUUGUCUGGUCAAUUCCGAUAACGAGCGAGACCUCGGCUGCUAAAUAGCGAAACAAGCCUGCUUGUGGAUGCUUCUUAGCGGGACACCCGG
rnacentral:rRNA from 1 species